AUUGAACGCUGGCGGCAGGCCUAACACAUGCAAGUCGAGCGGAGGAAGGGAGCUUGCUCCUGGAUUCAGCGGCGGACGGGUGAGUAAUUCCUAGGAAUCUGCCUGGUAGUGGGGGAUAACGUCCGGAAACGGGCGCUAAUACCGCAUACGUCCUGAGGGAGAAAGUGGGGGAUCUUCGUACCUCACGCUAUCAGAUGAGCCUAGGUCGGAUUAGCUAGUUGGUGGGGUAAAGGCCUACCAAGGCGACGAUCCGUAACUGGUUUGAGAGGAUGAUCAGUCAAACUGGAACUGAGCCACGGUCCAGAUUCCUACGGGAGGCAGCAGUGGGGAAUAUUGGACAAUGGGCGAAAGCCUGCUCCAGACAUGCCGGGGGUGUGAAGAAGGUCUUCGGAUUGUAAAGCAUUUUGAGUGGGGAGGAAGGGCAGGAAGUUAAUAACUUGAUGUUUUGACGUUAACAACAGAGUAAGCAACGGCUAACUUCGUG
rnacentral:rRNA from 1 species